rnacentral:rRNA from 1 species
UACGAAGGGGGCUAGCGUUGCUCGGAAUUACUGGGCGUAAAGGGCUCGUAGGUGGCCAACUAAGUCAGACGUGAAAUCCCUCGGCUUAACCGGGGAACUGCGUCUGAUACUGGAUGGCUUGAAUCCGGGAGAGGGAUGCGGAAUUCCAGGUGUAGCGGUGAAAUGCGUAGAUAUCUGGAGGAACACCGGUGGCGAAGGCGGCAUCCUGGACCGGCAUUGACGCUGAGGAGCGAAAGCCAGGGGAGCAAACGGG